rnacentral:rRNA from 1 species
AACGAACGCUGGCGGCAGGCUUAACACAUGCAAGUCGAGCGCCCCGCAAGGGGAGCGGCAGACGGGUGAGUAACGCGUGGGAAUCUACCCAUCUCUACGGAAUAACGCAUGGAAACGUGUGCUAAUACCGUAUACGUCCUUCGGGAGAAAGAUUUAUCGGAGAUGGAUGAGCCCGCGUUGGAUUAGCUGGGUGGUGGGGUAAAGGCCAAGCAAGGUGACGAUCCAUAGCUGGUCUGAGAGGAUGAUCAGCCACACUGGGACUAAGACAAGGCCCAGACUCCUACGGGAGGCAGCAGUGGGGAAUAUUGGACAAUGGGCGCAAGCCUGGACCGGCCAUGCCGCGUGAGUGAUGAAGUCCCUAGGGUUGUAAAGCUCUUUCACCGGUGAAGAUAAUGACGGUAACCGGAGAAGAAGCCCCGGCUAACUUCGUGCCAGCCGCCGCUGUAAGAC